rnacentral:rRNA from 1 species
GGUCUCAGCAAAGAGUCCCAGCACUUUGCCAACUCGUAAGAGGAAGUAUAAGGUGUGACGCCUGCCCGGUGCUCGAAGGUUAAGAGGAUGCGUCAGUCGCAAGAUGAAGCGUUGAAUUGAAGCCCGAGUAAACGGCGGCCGUAACUAUAACGGUCCUAAGGUAGCGAAAUUCCUUGUCGGUUAAAUACCGACCUGCAUGAAUGGCGUAACGAGAUGGGAGCUGUCUCAACCAGAGAUUCAGUGAAAUUGUAGUGGAGGUGAAAAUUCCUCCUACCCGCGGCAAGACGGAAAGACCCCGUGGACCUUUACUACAACUUAGCACUGCUAAUGGGAAUAUCAUGCGCAGGAUAGGUGGGAGGCUUUGAAGUAAGGGCUUUGGCUCUUAUGGAGCCAUCCUUGAGAUACCACCCUUGAUGUUUCUGUUAGCUAACUGGCCUGUGUUAUCCACAGGCAGGACAAUGCUUGGUGGG